UACGAACCGUGCAAACGUUAUUCGGAAUCACUGGGCGUAAAGGGCGCGUAGGCGGCCAUUCAAGUCAGGGGUGAAAGCCUGUGGCUCAACCACAGAAUUGCCUUUGAUACUGUUUGGCUAGAGACCGGAAGAGGUAAGUGGAACUGCGAGUGUAGAGGUGAAAUUCGUAGAUAUUCGCAAGAACACCAGUGGCGAAGGCGGCUUACUGGUCCGGUUCUGACGCUGAGGCGCGAAAGCGUGGGGAGCAAACAGG
rnacentral:rRNA from 1 species